UACAGAGGUCUCAAGCGUUGUUCGGAUUCAUUGGGCGUAAAGGGUGCGUAGGCGGCGCGGUAAGUCGGGUGUGAAAUCUCGGAGCUUAACUCCGAAACUGCAUUCGAUACUGCCGUGCUUGAGGACUGGAGAGGAGACUGGAAUUUACGGUGUAGCGGUGAAAUGCGUAGAUAUCGUAAGGAAGACCAGUGACGAAGGCGGGUCUCUGGACAGUUCCUGACGCUGAGGCACGAAGGUCAGGGGGAGCAAACGGGG
rnacentral:rRNA from 1 species